CGUGCUACCACAGCCCUCAUGGGACUACUGCAGCAGGGCAGGAUGCUGUACGUGACCUGGCAGAGCCCCUCCCACGCCUGUUCCCACGCACACAGACCCCUUGCCCAUCCCACUGCAGGCAGGGCACUGGGUAAAGCCCAUUAACCAAAUCUCAGGAAUGCUCAGAAGCAAAUCUGUGACUCUGCUGACAUCCAGAAUAACCCUGCACAAACCAACUUGAAUUGACAAAUUCCAGAAACCCCACAGCUGAGGGAAGAUUUGUGUCCACAUCCUUGUGAAAGGGCAGAAAGGUAUUUGUAGUGAAAAGGAAGAUAUAUGAGUCAUAAGACAAAGACUUUUAUACUGCGGAUUUCUUGAUUCAAUCUGAGCUUCAUCAAACCACCAUCAACUGCAGGCAAAACACGAUAAAACUAAGUAGAAUAAACUUGAGAAUAUUAUGAUUUAGUAAAAAAUGCAGUAUAUUACCAUUUUCUAUUCUUUUUGCAAAGCUUCAUAAGGAUGUUCCUAACUUCUCCCCUGGUAGUGAAGAUACUUGGAGCCAUGCAGGAAAUAGUUUGUAAAUUAUUUCCGGUUUGAGACACAAAAGCUGAGGUUUGUUGUUCCCUGCAGGGAGGCUGUAGCACUGGCACCAAAUCUCUACCAUUACCUUUCCUAAUGUCCGGGCUUGUAAGAUAAGCAUAUAUUCUAUUUGCCAUCUGUUGGGCCAUCUUAUCUUUUCCAAGAACAAUGUCUCCCUCUGGGGAGAUAUCUUCUGUUAAUGUGCCAUUGAAUGGCUCACUGCAUGACUGAGAAAGUUACAUCAUCCCAUUGUAAGAUGCUCCACCCAGAGGGAGGAGCCAAGCAUCCCUACCUGCAUAAAAUCAGCAUUUCUUAAGACAGCAACUCAGCCUAUUCACUGGAUUCCCAGAGGAAGACCAGGCCCAUCUACUCUAUCACCAGACCUUCAGAGAAAACUACACCCUUCUACUGGAUCAUCACUUCAGCAGCAUUUCAUCUGCCACUCCAGAGCAGGAGGAGCAGCCACCAUUUAACUGGACUAUCACUAACACCGUGACUCCUCAGGGUGUCAGGUUUCUGACUCUAUCAGUAGUUUUGUUUGUACUAAUUACAUUUUUUUAAAUUUAGUUUUUUUCCUAGUAAAGAACUGUUAUUCCCAUUCCCAUA